GUUCCAUCCUCCUCUUUAAUACGGAGGGUGCAAGCGUUGUCCGGAAUCACUGGGCGUAAAGGGUGCGCAGGCGGGGCAGCAAGUCGGAUGUGAAAGCCCGUGGCUCAACCACGGAAGUGCAUUCGAAACUGUUGCUCUUGAGUGCGGGAGAGGUUGCCGGAAUUCGUGGUGUAGCGGUGAAAUGCGUAGAUAUCACGAGGAACACCAGAGGCGAAAGCGGGCAACUGGACGGGUACUGACGCUCAGGCACGAAAGCGCGGGGAGCAAACAGGAUUAGAAACCCUUGUAGUCC
rnacentral:rRNA from 1 species